rnacentral:tRNA from 1 species
GCCUCGAUAGCUCAGUCGGUAGAGCAGGGGAUUGAAAAUCCCCGUGUCGGUGGUUCGAUUUCGCCUCGAGGCACCA